ensembl:lncRNA
AAGGGAAAAAGCAUUUCCAGGUGUUCCUUUAUAGAAGCCAAUUCUCUGCUUGCCGGGUCUUGCAGGGGCAGAGGGGCCCACGAGGUUACCUACUGAGGAGCAUCUGGCAGAGGACUCUGUGGCCCUGGAUGACUGCAGAGACAUUAGGUGGAGAGAACUUCAGCCACUGGAUGGGAAGACCAUCCUUUACAAGUUGCUAAAGACCCCUGGACUAUGAAAUGAGCAAUGACUAGAUCUUCAUGCUGUUAAGCUACUGAGACGUGGGGACUGUUUAUUACAGCUUCUAGCUUUACUGGCCCUAAUACACCAAGUUGAUUCUAAAAAGGUCCCAUAACCAUAUUCAGUGAAGCGCUACCUUAGACAAAACUAUGGAGCUCAGGAGCUGCAACUCCUGAGCCCACGUGCCGCAACAAGAGAAGACGCUGUAAUGAGAAGCCUGCGCUCCACGAGGGAGUGGCUCCUGCUCUCCACGCCUAGAGGAAAGCCCAAGCACAGUGAAGACCC